UACGAAGGGGGCUAGCGUUGUUCGGAAUUACUGGGCGUAAAGCGCACGUAGGCGGGUUGUUAAGUCAGGGGUGAAAUCCUGGAGCUCAACUCCAGAACUGUCCUUGAUACUGGCAACCUAGAGACUGGAAGAGGUUAGUGGAAUUCCCAGUGUAGAGGUGAAAUUCGUAGAUAUUCGCAAGAACACCAGUGGCGAAGGCGGCUCACUGGCCCGGUACUGACGCUGAGGUGCGAAAGCGUGGGGAGCAAACAGG
rnacentral:rRNA from 1 species